rnacentral:rRNA from 1 species
AGUGAACGCUGGCGGCGUGCUUAACACAUGCAAGUCGAACGAGAACGGGCUAUAGCUUGCUAUAGUUGUCAGCUAAGUGGCGCACGGGUGAGUAAUGUAUAGGUAAUAUGCCUCUUACUAAGGGAUAACAAAUGGAAACGUUUGCUAAUACCUUAUACUCCUUAUUAACAGAAGUUAAUAAGGGAAAGAUUUAUUGGUAAGAGAUUAGCCUGUAUUGUAUCAGUUAGUUGGUGGGGUAAUGGCUUACCAAGACAAAGACACAUAACUGGUUUGAGAGGAUGAUCAGUCACACUGGAACUGAGACACGGUCCAGACUCCUACGGGAGGCAGCAGUGGGGAAUAUUGCACAAUGGACGAAAGUCUGAUGCAGCAACGCCGCGUGGAGGAUGACACAUUUCGGUGCGUAAACUCCUUUUAUAUGAGAAGAUAAUGACGGUAUUAUAUGAAUAAGCACCGGCUAACUCCGUGCCAGCAGCCGCCGUAA